ACUCCUACGGGAGGCAGCAGUGGGGAAUAUUGCACAAUGGGCGCAAGCCUGAUGCAGCCAUGCCGCGUGUAUGAAGAAGGCCUUCGGGUUGUAAAGUACUUUCAGCAGUGAGGAAGGUAGUGUAGUUAAUAGCUGCAUUAUUUGACGUUAGCGACAGAAGAAGCACCGGCUAACUCCGUGCCAGCAGCCGCGGUAAUACGGAGGGUGCGAGCGUUAAUCGGAAUUACUGGGCGUAAAAGCGCAUGCAGGUGGUUUGUUAAGUCAGAUGUGAAAGCCCGGGGCUUAACCUCGGAAUUGCAUUUGAAACUGGCAGACUAGAGUACUGUAGAGGGGGGUAGAAUUUCAGGUGUAGCGGUGAAAUGACGUAGAGAUCUGAAGGAAUACGGUGGCGAAGGCGGCCCCCUGGACAGAUACUGACACUC
rnacentral:rRNA from 1 species